rnacentral:lncRNA from 1 species
AACCCUAAUCCAAAGUGUAUUAGGAGUAGGUUAGGUUAUGUGUAUUAUAUAUAGGGCUCAUUUUCAUGUUUAAUAUCAAGAUAUAUAUUUUUCUCCCGUGCUUUCUCAUAUGGUAUUAGAGCUACAGUGAGAAUAUUAUAGUUGUUCGCAUUUUUCGGUAUAUAAAAUCAACUCCAGGUAAAGGUUUAUUGUUUGAGGAUCAAGGCCAUGAGCAGA